UACGGGGGGGGCAAGCGUUGUUCGGAAUUACUGGGCGUAAAGGCUCGUAGGCGGCCAACUAAGUCCGACGUGAAAUCCCCAGGCUUAACCUGGGAACUGCGUCGGAUACUGGAUGGCUUGAAUUCGGGAGAGGGAUGCAGAAUUCCAGGUGUAGCGGUGAAAUGCGUAGAUAUCUGGAGGAAUACCGGUGGCGAAGGCGGCAUCCUGGACCGGCAUUGACGCUGAUGAGCGAAAGCUAGGGGAGCAACGGGG
rnacentral:rRNA from 1 species